AGACAUGCGAGUCGAGCGUCUCUAGCUAUGUUGAGACGCGGCAGACGGCUCAGUAACACGUGGCUAACCUACCCUCAGGACGAGGAUAAACCCGGGAAACUGGGGCUAAUACUCGAUAGGUGAGAAUGUCUGGAAUGAUUUCUCAUUCAAAGGGCUUUAGAAACAUGCUUCUAAAGUCGCCUGGGGAUGGGGCCGCGUCCGAUCAGGUUGUUGGUGAGGUAACGGCUCACCAAGCCUAUAACCGGUACGGGCCGUGAGAGCGGUAGCCCGGAGAUGGGUACUGAGACAAGGACCCAGGCCCUACGGGGCGCAGCAGUCGCGAAAACUCCGCAAUGCACGAAAGUGUGACGGGGCUACCCCGAGUGCCAUCCGCUGAGGAUGGCUUUUCUUUGGUGUAACUAGCCGGGGGAAUAAGGAGAGGGCAAGACUGGUGUCAGCCGCCGCGGUAAUACCAGCUCUCCGAGUGGUAGGGAUGAUUAUUGGGCUUAAAGCGUCCGUAGCCGGCUUAGCAAGUCUCCUGUUAAAUUCAGCGACCUAAUCGUUGAGCCGCGGGAGAUACUACUAGGCUAGGAGGCGGGAGAGGUCGACGGUACUUCUGGGGUAGGGGUGAAAUCCUAUAAUCCCGGGAGGACCACCAGUGGCGAAGGCUGUUGACUAGAACGCGCUCGACGGUGAGGGACGAAAGCUGGGGGAGCGAACCGGAUUAGAUACCCGGGUAGUCCCAGCCGUAAACGAUG
rnacentral:rRNA from 1 species